CAGCAGCCGCGGUAACACCGGCGGCCCGAGUGGUGAUCGUGAUUAUUGGGUCUAAAGGGUCCGUAGCCGGUUUGGUCAGUCCUCCGGGAAAUCUGAUGGCUCAACCAUUAGGCUUUCGGGGGAUACUGCCAGGCUUGGAACCGGGAGAGGUAAGAGGUACUACAGGGGUAGGAGUGAAAUCUUGUAAUCCCUGUGAGACCACCUGUGGCGAAGGCGUCUUACCAGAACGGGUUCGACGGUGAGGGACGAAAGCUGGGGGCACGAACCGGAUUAGAUACCCGGGUAGUCCCAGCCGUAAACGAUGCUCGCUAGGUGUCAGGCAUGGCGCGACCGUGUCUGGUGCCGCAGGGAAGCCGUGAAGCGAGCCACCUGGGAAGUACGGCCGCAAGGCUGAAACUUAAAGGAAUUGGCGGGGGAGCACAACAACGGGUGGAGCCUGCGGUUUAAUUGGACUCAACGCCGGACAACUCACCGGGGACGACAGCAAUAUGUAGGCCAGGCUGAAGACCUUGCCUGAAUCGCUGAGAGGAGGUGCAUGGCC
rnacentral:rRNA from 1 species